GGUGGUUCUUGGGUGACGCAGCCUGGAACUGGGAUCCCUCCUCUCUGGUUCCAGGUGCGUCACCCGAGAACCACA
rfam:Myotis davidii contig56178, whole genome shotgun sequence.